rnacentral:piRNA from 1 species
UAUAUUUUCACGGUUAUUUGC